AUCUCGGCUCACUGCAAGCUCUGCAUCCUGGGUUCACGCCAUUCUCCUGUUUCAGCCUCCAGGUAGCUGGGCCUACCGGCGCCCGCCACCACGCCCGGCUAAUUUUUUGUAUUUUUAGUAGAGACGGGGUUUCACCGUGUUAGCCAGGAUGGUCUCGAUCUCCUGACCUGGUGAUCCGCCCGCCUCGGCCUCCCAAAGUGCUGAGAUUACAGGCGUGAGCUACCGCGCCCCGCCAAUUUACCGUGCAGGAUUGCAAACACCAGAGAGAAAAUCAGUCUCUGGAAUGAUGCCUUUGAUGGACCAAGAUGCAGCUGAUGAAGCAUUGAACCAAUUAGCACCUAGCAGGAGGGCACCCUUGCUCUGUGUCCUUGAAGGUUAAAGCUGUCAAAAAGUGGUCUCCCUCAAGUUCGGCCAUCUUGCUCUCAGAGAUCUAGAACUGGACUCAGUCAAAAUUUUGGGCCAAGGAGACCGACGCGCUGUCGCCUGCACUAAGAGAAACGCAACGAACAACUUUGUCAAUGCAUUGCAUUAUACUAUAGCAGCAACUAUACUUUUAAAUGAUUCGAAUCUUGAGGUUUCAAACUGAACCGUCUUGUGCCUUUUGCCCGGCGGGCAUUUCUGCGGGGACCGCGGGUCACCUUCUGAAUUUUUACCUUCAUAAACAGCAAGGACUGCG
rnacentral:lncRNA from 1 species